CAGAUAGGGCUCUGGUGUUACAGAAGAUAAACCAAUCAUACACACUUCCUCCUCAUAGACAUAGAGACAGACAGACCCAUUGAGUAGGUGACAUUUUGAAGACUUUUUGAAAAAGGACAUGGAAAGGGAGAAUCAAGAGAAGAGUAAGUAGAAUGAAGGGGACCAUACUCUUGGCUUAUCUGUUGUUGAUUUGGACCAUGACUGUAGCUAUAGAUUCAGACCCAGUUCAAAUAAACGUGGCAGAAUCCUCGGACAAGAUCACGCUAUCAUGUGUUGAUGGUUUCACUUUUAGCCCUAAUAAUAAAACUACUCUAAUAUUGGAUUACAAGGAUGAAUAAACAGGAGUAUGUAUGCAAAAAAAAACAGAGAGGAAGAUCACAAUAUCUAUGUGAAAUUUCAGACCUGUGAUAAUUGCAUUGAGCUGGAUAUAGCUGCGGCUGUAGGGAUGGUUGUGGGAGACCUGGUGGCCACUGUCCUGAUUGGAGUAGCUGUCUACUACAUCGACUCAAAGCCCAAAGCAACGCUGACCACCGGUAAGAAAACCCCCGAAUAAAAGGUGCAUGGACAGAUCUGAAUACAGCACUCUGCCGUAAAAAUAAAAUGUGCUCAGUGCUACAUUACUUUUACCACCCCUCAGAAUAAUAGUUGUAAAGUAUUGAGAAAUCAGGUCCACAAUGUCCAUGACAAGUCCCUCAACUGGCCAUUUGAUGUACAGAACCAUUGAAUGUACAAGUUCAUGUCAUUCAGAUGUUCGAUGUACAUACAUUUCCUGUUUGCUCAGUUGCUUUGUUGAGUUUGCUCUAGUUUUUUUCAACCUGUGUACAGAUAAUGUUGUUUGAAGAAUUCAGGUGUUUUUGAAUUAGUUUAAAGCUAAGGUCAAAUCUAUGGUGGACAAUAAAGUGGGGGGCUGUCAAUGUUUUGACCCCUAGAUGCACCACAUCUCCCCAAUUAAUUCUUGCCUGUUUUUAAAUUGUAGUGCUUUGUGUUUUAUGUUGUAAUUAUGUCUGAAACAACUAUUUUGGCCAGGUCUCUCUUGGAAAAUAGGUGUUUAAUCUCAGUGAGACUAACCUGGUGAAAUAAAAACAAAUAAAAUAAUGAAAUGGAAAGUUGGUCACAAAAUAACGACUGCAAUUGUAACAAUAAAUAAUGUACUUUUA